rnacentral:lncRNA from 1 species
UUUUUUUUUUUUUUUUUUUUUUUUUUUGAUAAGUCUGGCUAAAGGUUUAUCAAUUUUGUUGAUCUUUUCAAAGAAUCAGCUUUUUGUUUCAUUGAUCUUUACUCUGGUUAUCUCUGUUUUAUUUCAUUUAUUCCUGCUCUGAUCUUUAUGAUUUAUUUCCCUCUGUGCUAAUUUUAGGUUGUGUCUGUUCUUCUCUCUCUAGCUGCUUUAGAUGUAAAGUUAGCUUGUUUAUUCGAGCUUUUUCUUGUUUCCUGAGGUAGGUUUGCAUUGCUGUAAGCUUGCCUGUUAGAACUGCUUUUGCUGCAUCCCAUAGGUUUUGGAGUGUUGUGUCUUUGUUUUCGUUUGCUGCUAGGUAUUUUGUAAUUUCCUCUUUUCAUUUCUUCAGUGAUCCAUUGGUUGUUUAGUCGUUUGUUUAGUCUCCACGUGUUUGUACAGCAUUGAGGAUGGAAAAGAUGCUUGAUACGAUUUCAGUUUUCUUAGAAUUUCUGAGGCUUGGAGUUCCCAUCGUGGCUCAGUGGUUACUGAAUCCAACUAUGAACCAUGAGGUUGCAGGUUCGAUCCUUGGCCUUGCUCAGUGGAUUAAGGAUCUGGCGUUGCCAUGAGCUGUGGUGUAGGUUGCAGAUGCGGCUCGGAUCCUGAGUUGCUGUGGCUCUGGUGUAGGCCGGCAGCUACAGCUCCAACUGGACCCCAGCCUGGGGACCUCCAUAUGCUGUGGGUGCAGCCCUAGGAAAGACAAAAAGACCAAAAAAAAAAAAGUUUCUGAGGCUUGAUUUGUGGCCCAGAAUGUGAUCAGUCCUAGAGAAUGUUCCAUGUUCACUUGAGAAGAAUGUGUAUUCUGUUGCUUUUAGAUGGAAUGUCCUAUAAAUAUCUGUUAAGUCCAUUUGGUCUAAUGCUUCAUUCAGGGCCUGUGUUUCCUUGUUGAUUUUCUUACUGGAUGAUCUGUCCAUUGUUGUAAGUGGGGUGUUAAAGUCCCUCACUGUUAUCGUGUUCUUGUCAGUUUCUUCUUUUAAGGUUGUUAGCAGUUACCUUGUGUGUGUGUGUAUAUAUAUAUAUGGGGGAGGAGGGAGAGAGAGAGAGAGAGGUGAUCCUGUGUUGGGUGCAUAUGUAUUUACAAUUGUUAUAUCUUCUUGGAUUGAUCCUUUGAUCAUUGUGUAAUGUCCUUGUUUUUUAUAAUAUUUUUAGUUUUGAGAUCUGUUUUGUCUGAGUAUUGCUACUCCAGCUUUCUUUUGAUUUCCGUUUGCAUGGAAUAUUUUCUUCCAUCCUCUCACUUUGUCUGUAUGUCCCUAGAACUGGAUUUGGUCUCUUGAAGACAGCAUAUAUAUGGUUCUUGUUUUUGUAUCCAUUUAAUCAGUCCAUGUCUUUUGAUGAGGAGGGGCAUUUAGCCCAUUAACAUUUAAGGUAAUUAUUGAUAUGUAUGUUCUUAUUGCCAUUUUAUUAAUUGCUUUUGGGUUUGUUUUUUUUGGUCUUUUUCUUGUUCUCUUCUCUUGUGGUUUGAUAACUAUCUUUAGUGUUGUAUUUGAGUUGAUUCUUCUUAUUUGUAUGUGUAUCAAUUGUAGGUUUUUGUUUUGCAGAUACCCUGAAGUUUUGAUAUAGGCAUCUGUAUAUAUCAAGAUUGUUUUACAUUGUAGAUCUCUUAAUUGCAAGUGCAUCUCCAGUGUCCUGCAUUUGUACCCUCCACUUCUCACAAUUUCUGAUUUCGGUAGCAUAUUUGUGUGUGGAUGUUUUCCUUCCUUUACUGUAUAUGUAUGCCUUUACUGGUGAGCCGUGUCAUUUGUGGUAUUUUUGUUUCUAGUUGUUGCCUUUUCUUUUCUGCCUAGAGAAGUUUGUUUAGUAUUUGUUGUAAAGCUGGUUUAGUGAUGCUGAAUUCUCUUAACUUUUGCUUAUCUGUAAAGCUUUUGAUGUCUCCGAAUCUGAAUGAGAGCCUUGCUGGGUAAAGUGAUCUUGGUUGGAGAUUUUUUUCCCCUUUCUCACAUUAAGUAUAUCAUGCCACUCCCUUCUGGCCUGCAGAGUUUCUGCUGAAAAAUCUGCCGGUAACCUUAUCAGGGUUCCCUUGUAUGUUAUUUCUCCUCCCUAGCUGUUUUCAGUAUUUUCUCUUUGCCUUUAAUUUUGGUCAGUUUGAGUGUCUUCUGUGAUAAACAGUGAGAUACUGAAUGGAACAGGUAGUUUCUGCUGUGAUACUCUGUGGACUCUUCAACCUAUCUUGCUUCUGGCCAAGGAAGGCUAUGGUCGAAAGGGCAAAAUAGAAGAUCUUGAGCUCACUUCCUUCCCUGAGAACACCAAAAUCACAAAUAACUGUAAAACAGCUACCAAUUAAAAAAACUGGGAACUAUCAGAGUUCCUGUUGUGGUUCAAGAAUCCAACUAGUAUACGUGAGGAUGCAGUUUCGAUACCUAGCCUCACUCAGUGGGUUAGUUUCCAUCAUUGCCACAGGCUGCAGCAUAGGUCACGGACAUAGCUCAGAUCUGGCAUUGCUGUGGUGUAGGCUGGCAGCUAUGGCUCAGAUUCAACCCCUAGCCUGGGACCCUUCAUAUGCUGUGGUAGUGGCCCUUAAAAAAGACUAAUUAAAGGGAGUUCCCGUCAUGGUGCAGUGGUUAACGAAUCCGACUAGGAACCAUGAGGUUGCGGGUUCAAUCCCUGCCCUUGCUCAGUGGGUUGAUGAUCCGGCGUUGCCAUGAGCUGUGGUGUAGGUUGCAGACGCGGCUCGGAUCCCACAUUGCUGUGGCUCUGGCAUAGGCUGGUAGCUACAGCUCCGAUUAGACCCCUAGCCUGGGAAACUCCCACAUGCUGCGGGAGCAGCCCAAGAAAUGGCAAAAAGACAAAAAAAAAAAAAA